AGAGUUUGAUCCUGGCUCAGAACGAACGUUGGCGGCGUGGAUUAGGCAUGCAAGUCGAACGAGAACCAGCUUUGUAGCAAUACCGAGCUGGGGAAAGUGGCGAAAGGGGCAGUAAGGCGUGGCUAACCUACCCCGGGGACGGGAAUAGCUUCUCUAACGGGAAGGUAAUACCCGGCGAUCUGGCGAGGGGGCAUCUCCUUGACAGGAAAUGAAUUUCGCCUCGGGAGGGGGUCACGUAGUAUUAGCUUGUUGGCGGGGUAACGGCCCACCAAGGCAAAGAUGCUUAGCGGGUGUGAGAGCACGACCCGCGCCACUGGCACUGAGACACUGGCCAGACUCCUACGGGAGGCUGCAGUCGAGGAUCUUCGGCAAUGGGCGCAAGCCUGACCGAGCGACGCCGCGUGUGCGAUGAAGGCCUUCGGGUUGUAAAGCACUGUCGAGGGGGAGGAAAGCCCGCAAGGGUCUGACCUAUCCCUGGAGGAAGCACGGGCUAAGUUCGUGCCAGCAGCCGCGGUAAGACGAACCGUGCGAACGUUGUUCGGAUUCACUGGGCUUAAAGGGCGCGUAGGCGGGUGACCAAGUCUGGGGUGAAAUCUUUCGGCUCAACCGGAAAAUAGCCUCGGAUACUGGUCGUCUUGAGGGAGGUAGGGGCAGGUGGAACUUCCGGUGGAGCGGUGAAAUGCGUAGAGAUCGGAAGGAACGCCGGUGGCGAAAGCGACCUGCUGGACCUCUUCUGACGCUGAGGCGCGAAAGCUAGGGGAGCAAACGGGAUUAGAUACCCCAGUAGUCC
rnacentral:rRNA from 1 species